GCAUGUGAGAACAAUCAACUGUGACACCUGUCAGCCCACCAAUUGCCUGCAUUGAUUCUGCUGCUCUGGCUGGCAAGGGAGAGCAGCAGAAUUCUUCCCUCAGUGCCCCACGUGUGUCCCUCUAGAAGCUGCAUGGUUGGUUGAAGAGAACCACCUUCCCUGAUAAAGAAGAGUAUUCUGUGGUCAAGGGUAUGCAAACAACCACACUUCUUUACAGGAUCCUCCAAACAAGCUCUCAAGAUC
rnacentral:sRNA from 1 species